AUUGAACGCUGGCGGCAGGCUUAACACAUGCAAGUCGAGCGGAGAUGAGGUGCUUGCACCUUAUCUUAGCGGCGGUCGGGUGAGUAAUGCUUAGGAAUCUGCCUAUUAGUGGGGGACAACAUUCCGACAGGAAUGCUAAUACCGCAUACGUCCUACGGGAGAAAGCAGGGUAUCUUCGGACCUUGCGCUAAUAGAUGAGCCUAAGUCGGAUUAGCUAGUUGGUGGGGUAAAGGCCUACCAAAGCGACGAUCUGUAGCGGGUCUGAGAGGAUGAUCCGGCACACUGGGACUGAGAAACGGCCCAGACUCCUACGGGAGGCAGCAGUGGGGAAUAUUGGACAAUGGGGGGAACCCUGAUCCAGCCAUGCCGCGUGUGUGAAGAAGGCCUUAUGGUUGUAAAGCACUUUAAGCGAGGAGGAGGCUACUGAGACUAAUACUCUUGGAUAGUGGACGUUACUCGCAGAAUAAGCACCGGCUAACUCUGUGCCAGCAGCCGCAGUAAAAC
rnacentral:rRNA from 1 species